UAGCAUGUAGUCAGACAA
rnacentral:rRNA from 1 species